rfam:Glycine soja cultivar W05 scaffold2311_17, whole genome shotgun sequence.
ACCAAUGAUGUUACAAUCCAACUUGUUAGGUUGUAGUUGAUCCAAGACCCUGUUUUCAGGGAGAACCUACUUGGUGUUACUACAUUUCCAAUGACAGCGACGAUUGAACUGAGGU